rnacentral:tRNA from 1 species
GCUUCCUUAGCUCAGUUGGUAGAGCAUGCGGCUGUUAACCGCAGUGUCAAUGGUUCGAGUCCAUUAGGAAGCGCCA